GUAAUACGGAGGAUCCGAGCGUUAUCCGGAUUUANUGGGUUUAAAGGGUGGGUAGGCGGGUGGNUCAGUCGGCGGUGAAAUGCAGCGGCUCAACCGUUGCCCUGCCGUAGAAACUGGCCGCCUUGAAUUCGGUGGAGGCNGGCGGAAUGCGCGGUGUAGCGGUGAAAUGCUUAGAUAUCGCGNGGAACGCCGAUUGGGGAGGCAGCUGGNUGGACCGAGAUUGACGGUGAUGCAAGACAGCGUGGGGAUCGAACAGGAUUAGAUACCUUGGUAGUCCACGCAGUAAACGAUGAUGGGUGGGUGUUGGNGAUACACCGUCAGCGCCNGAGCGAAAGCAUAA
rnacentral:rRNA from 1 species